UACGUAGGUUGCAAGCGUUGUCCGGAUUUACUGGGUGUAAAGGGCGUGUAGGCGGAGAUGCAAGUUAGGAGUGAAAUCCCGGGGCUCAACCCCGGAACUGCUCUCAAAACUGUAUCCCUUGAGUGUCGGAGAGGCAAGCGGAAUUCCUAGUGUAGCGGUGAAAUGCGUAGAUAUUAGGAGGAACACCAGUGGCGAAGGCGGCUUGCUGGACGAUAACUGACGCUGAGGCGCGAAAGCGUGGGGAGCAAACAGG
rnacentral:rRNA from 1 species